rnacentral:rRNA from 1 species
UACGAAGGGGGCGAGCGUUGUUCGGAAUUACUGGGCGUAAAGGGCGCGCAGGCGGCUCUGAAAGUCAGAUGUGAAAGCCCCGGGCUUAACCUGGGAACUGCAUUUGAUACUCUGGAGCUUGAGUACGGGAGAGGAGAGUGGAAUUCCCAGUGUAGAGGUGAAAUUCGUAGAUAUUGGGAAGAACACCCGUGGCGAAGGCGGCUCUCUGGGACGGUACUGACGCUGAGACGCGAAAGCGUGGGGAGCGAACAGG